rnacentral:lncRNA from 1 species
CACAACUACUGACCACACAACUACUGACCACACAACUACUGACCACACAACUACUAACCACACGACCACUGACCACAACUACCGACCACACACCUACAGACCACACACCUUCUGACCACACGGCUACUGACCACACAGCUACUGACCACACAGCUACUGACCACAACUACUGACCACAACUACUGACCACACAACUACUGACCACACAACUACUGACCACAACUAUUGACCACAACUAUUGACCACAACUAUUGACCACAACUACUGACCACACAACUACUCACCACAACUAUUGGCCACAAAUACUGACCACAACUACUACUUUGGUCUGCACUAGUUCUGGUCUAGCUCUGGUCCUGGGCUUAGCCAGCUAGCUUUGGUUCGCACUAGCUCUGUAUUAAUUUCAGCAAACAAAGAAAGGCACACAACUCCAGAGGACAAACAUAGUGAGUGACAGCGUUGUAAUGGAGUAUCCACCCGACCAAAACUCCAGGCAUAAAGACGUGGACUACUGGGAUGAGAGAUACAUGACAGAGCAGUCUUUUGUUUCAGUCUCCAAGUUCCAGAAUCUAUUGGAGCAACACGUCAAGUAUGAGAAUGCCAUCCUUGUGCUUGGUAUGUGUUUUGUCCUUACUUGCUCAGCUAUAGCUACUUGAAAUACUUUCUGAAGAAAUAUUGGGCC